UACGUAGGGAGCAAGCGUUGUCCGGAAUCAUUGGGCGUAAAACGCGCGUAGGCGGCCCGAUAAGUCCGCUGUAAAAGUCAACGGCUCAACUGUUGAAAGCCGGUGGAUACUGUCGGGCUAGAGUACGGAAGAGGCAAGUGGAAUUCCUGGUGUAGCGGUGGAAUGCGCAGAUAUCAGGAGGAACACCUAUAGCGAAGGCAGCUUGCUGGGACGUUACUGACGCUAAGGCGCGAGAGCGUGGGGAGCGAACAGG
rnacentral:rRNA from 1 species